rnacentral:rRNA from 1 species
CCUACGGGAGGCAGCAGUGGGGAAUCUUGCACAAUGGAGGAAACUCUGAUGCAGCCAUGCCGCGUGUGUGAAGAAGGCCUUCGGGUUGUAAAGCACUUUCAGUAAGGAGGAAAGGUUAGUAGUUAAUACCUGCUAGCUGUGACGUUACUUACAGAAGAAGCACCGGCUAACUCCGUGCCAGCAGCCGCGGUAAUACGGAGGGUGCGAGCGUUAAUCGGAAUUACUGGGCGUAAAGCGUACGCAGGCGGUUUGUUAAGCGAGAUGUGAAAGCCCCGGGCUCAACCUGGGAACUGCAUUUCGAACUGGCAAGCUAGAGUGUGAUAGAGGGUGGUAGAAUUUCAGGUGUAGCGGUGAAAUGCGUAGAGAUCUGAAGGAAUACCGAUGGCGAAGGCAGCCACCUGGGUCAACACUGACGCUCAUGUACGAAAGCGUGGGGAGCAAACGGGAUUAGAUACCCCGGUAGUCCACGCCGUAAACGAUGUCUACUAGGAGUUCGGUUUUUCGGAACUGUCUUCCAAAGCUAACGCAUUAAGUAGACCGCCUGGGGAGUACGGCCGCAAGGUUAAAACUCAAAUGAAUUGACGGA